CCUAGAGUUGUAGGCUUUGCCUGCUAUCUCUUACCCUGUCUUUUGAGUACCUUCGUUUCCUCCUCGGCGGGUCCGCCCGCCGAUUGGACAAUUUAACCAUUUGCAGUGCAAUCAGCGUCUGAAAAACUUAAUAGUUA
rnacentral:misc_RNA from 1 species